UUAUACGACCGUACCGCAAACCGACACUGGUGCGCGAGAUGAGUAUUCUAAGGCGCUUGAGAGAACUCAGGAGAAGGAACUCGGCAAAUUGACACCGUAACUUCGGAAGAAGGUGUGCCCUAUUAGUGUGUAGUGAACAACGAAGCAUGAAUGGGUUGCAAAAAAUCGGUGGCUGCGACUGUUUAUUAAAAACACAGCACUCUGCAAACACGAAAGUGGACGUAUAGGGUGUGACGCCUGCCCGGUGCUGGAAGAUUAAAUGAUGGGGUGCAAGCUCUUGAUUGAAGUCCCAGUAAACGGCGGCCGUAACAAUAACGGUCCUAAGGUAGCGAAAUUCCUUGUCGGGUAAGUUCCGACCUGCACGAAUGGCGUAACGAUGGCCACACUGUCUCCUCCUGAGACUCAGCGAAGUUGAAAUGUUUGUGAUGAUGCAAUCUCCCCGCGGAAAGACGGAAAGACCCCAUGAACCUUUACUGUAGCUUUGUAUUGGACUUUGAACAGAUCUGUGUAGGAUAGGUGGGAGGCUUUGAAGCAGGGUCGCUAGAUCUUGUGGAGCCAACGUUGAAAUACCACCCUGGUGUGUUUGAGGUUCUAACCUAGGUCCAUUAUCUGGAUCGGGGACAGUGCAUGGUAGGCAGUUUGACUGGGGCGGUCUCCUCCCAAAGCGUAACGGAGGAGUUCGAAGGUACGCUAGUUACGGUCGGACAUCGUGACGAUAGUGCAAUGGCAUAAGCGUGCUUAACUGCGAGACUGACAAGUCGAGCAGAUGCGAAAGCAGGACAUAGUGAUCCGGUGGUUCUGUAUGGAAGGGCCAUCGCUCAACGGAUAAAAGGUACUCUGGGGAUAACAGGCUGAUACCGCCCAAGAGUUCAUAUCGACGGCGGUGUUUGGCACCUCGAUGUCGGCUCAUCUCAUCCUGGGGCUGUAGCCGGUCCCAAGGGUAUGGCUGUUCGCCAUUUAAAGAGGUACGUGAGCUGGGUUUAAAACGUCGUGAGACAGUUUGGUCCCUAUCUUCCGUGGGCGCUGCAGAUUUGAGGAAGCCUGCUCCUAGUACGAGAGGACCGGAGUGGACACACCUCUGGUGUAUCGGUUGUCACGCCAGUGGCAUUGCCGAGUAGCUAAGUGUGGAAGAGAUAACCGCUGAAAGCAUCUAAGCGGGAAACUCGUUUCAAGAUGAGAUCUGCCGGGGCCUUGAGCCCCCUAAAGAGUCGUUCAAGACCAGGACGUUGAUAGGUCAGGUGUGGAAGCGCAGUAAUGCGUUAAGCUAACUGAUACUAAUUGCUCGUGCGGCUUGACCU
rnacentral:rRNA from 1 species